UGGACGGUUGACGGGGGCUGCUCCUAGUACGAGAGGACCGGAGUGGACGAACCGCUGGUGUUCGGGUUGUCAUGCCAAUGGCAUUGCCCGGUAGCUAUGUUCGGAACGGAUAACCGCUGAAAGCAUCUAAGCGGGAAGCCGGCCCAAAGAUGAGUCAUCCCUGACCUUUAAGGUCUGGAAGGGUUGUUAUAGACGAUGACGUUGAUAGGCAGGGUGUGGAA
rnacentral:rRNA from 1 species